GCCGCUUUAGCUCAGUUGGUAGAGCAGCUGAUUCGUAAUCAGCAGGUCGUCAGUUCAAGUCUGACAAGCGGCUCCA
rnacentral:tRNA from 1 species